GGGUGUUGGAGGAGGCGGUGAGUGGUCAGGGGACCAGGGUGGAGGCCUGCUGAAGAAGAGGGCUUAAGCCUGAUAAAACUUUGGUAAAGAAAAGAGUCCUUCAAACUCUUUAGAUUGUCCCUGAGACCUGAGUAUCUGUUGGAAAAGACCUGUCUUUCCAAGUUUUCAUGACCACUACUACUUAUAUGUGAAUUUUACUUCUCUUUGUCAUGGGAGAGGUCACUGUGCACUGUGCUUUUAAUACAUAAAAUGUAGCAUGACAUGACAUACACAUCUUUGAAGUGCAAUCACGGCUGACAGCCCAAGACCAUAGAAGAUCUAAUCUGUGGGUGGAAAAGAUCGUUCAAAUAUUGGGAGGGAGGCUAGAAUUUAUUUUUUUUGUUUUAAUGAACAAUUAUUUUUGUGUAUAAAGUAAGUAUUUGUAGAACAGGAGUGACAUCUUAGUUUGAAUUGAUUGACAUUGCCCUCUUAAUUUUUCUGAGGAAAUGGCAGAUUCAAAUAGAAAUUGAGGAGGGCAUUUGGAAGCGGGAAGGGUACUAGGGAUGUUGCUGGCACCCCAGCAUCUUAGAAAAGAAAUUAAUACAGUUAUGAGAUACACACACACACACACACACACACACACACACACACCCCUACUAUGUUAGAGUUUUAGUUUUUGAGAGCCCUAAUGUUCUCAUGGGCUUGGAUUAGGUGUCCCCAAGAAGAAACUAACAGUGACCCACCCGAAUUCUUGACUUUGAACCCACAGUCCUAUGAUCUCAAUUACUGUCAGAGGAUCCAUCUUUUUACGGGUCUGUAAUUGCUAACAAGACUUACCCUAGGAGCAAGGUGCUGGCUUAGGCACAAUACACUGCAGACUCAUGUUUAAGUGGUUUUCUAAGUCAUUGUGCUUCUUUCUGCUGGUGUUUCAUCUGCAAAAAGAGAGUUGAACCAUGCAUUGUCCUAACAUUCUCUCAGCUCUAUUAUUGUUCCCAUUGUCCAUAAGACUUUAUCUGAGUCUGAAUGGGGAGUGAUUGAAGCCAGUCUUUGAGACAGUGCAUUACUCUGGUAAUUCAGUAGGAUGGGUUUCUCUUAGUUGGUGGCUAAUAUCAGCUGAACAUUCAUUUAAUCAACAUAAUAGUUCUUUAAUGAUGCUGUUGGUCUGACCUCAUCCUUCCUCCUAUUGAAUUAUUACAGUACACAAACCAUAGGAGUUCCAAAGAGCCUCAAAUUUUACAAAAUACUCAUUUCUAACUGUAGUGUUCCCUGGUGAAUACACAUUUCUGAUUUCCUUCAGCAGAGGCCCCAUGGCCGGGUCAACAUAGCUACUGGCCCACAUACCUCUAUUCCUCGGGUACUGCUGUAGAUUGAAUUAAUAGUCUUGGUACUUUGUGUCCCUGUGGUAGUGUUAUAAGCCACACCUUUGCCGUGGGAUGUGCAGAAUGUACUUCAGUGCCGCUUCACUUGGCCUGCUUCUAUGGUGACUCCUGAUGCCGUGAUUUAGGAUCCGUGUUCCUUCCGUCUUUUGGCUUUGCCACCAUCUCGGGCCUGUGGUUUUCUCCAUCUGCCAGAGUGAAGGGGAGAGAAAAUGAAAAAGUUUCUUAAGAGUCACGAGUGAAAUUGCGAGGUGACACCCAAGAUGGCCGAGUAGGAAUAGCUCCAGUCUCCAGCUCCCAGAGUGAGUUACACAGAAGAUGGGUGAUUUCUGCAUUUUCAACUGAGGUGCAGACUGACACAUGACACCUCACACAGGCUGGGUACACCCUGAGAUGAAGCAUCCAGAGCAAGAAUCAGACAGCAACGCUUGCAGUUCAGCAAUAUUCUAUCUUCUGCAGCCUCCGCUGCUGAUACC